rnacentral:ncRNA from 1 species
AAUAAGUUUGAUUCUUGCUUUAUUUUUACGUUUGAGCUUUAAGUAUAUAUUUAAAUUUUGGUGGGAGUAGAUUUAUGUUGUCGAGUAUAGUGUAAAUUUUGUUAAUUGAAGAAUCAAUUAGGGUCGAAGUAUAUAAUUUUAAAGGUAGCAAAAAUGCUGAGGUAAGUGAGCUUGAAAUAAGUCCCGACUAAAACUUGUGCCAGCAGUCGCGGUUAGACUUAGGGGGCAAGUAAAGGUAGUUGGCUAUAAUUAGUUAAUGUGUUAAGUGGUUGUUAAAGUCAUCUUAUAGAAAAUAAAAGGUAAAAUUAAGGUUGUUUAUAGUUAAAUUGGCUGUAAAAUUACUGUGGCAGAAGCUAAGAAGAGUGAGAUAUAAACCAGGAUUAGAUACCCUGUUAUACUUGUAUUUUAAAUAUUUAAAGCCAGUGUAUUAAUAGUUAUUUUCUUUAAAUAUAUAGAAUUUGGCGGCGUUGCCAGUCUCGUUAGAGGAACCUGUCUCGUAAACGAUACACCACGAAAUAUCUUACUUAAUUAAGUUUAGUAUGUAUACCGUCAUUAUCAGAUAAUUUUUAUAGAAUUAAUUAUUAGAAUAAAUAAGUUUGUUAAAGUUAUUUAGUAAAUUAGAUCUAGGUGCAGCUGAUAGUUAAGUGUUGAUGGGUUACAAUAAUAUUGUUUAAUAUGGAUCACAAAGUGAAAUAAUUGUGUGAAGGCGGAUUUAAUGGUAAAUCUAGUUUAAUAAGCUAGUUUGAUAAAGGCUCUGGAUUGUGUACAUAUCGCCCGUCGCUUUCACCCCAAGGUGAAAUAAGUCGUAACAUAGUGGGUGUACUGGAAAGUGUACCUGGAAGUCA